rnacentral:rRNA from 1 species
ACUCGAGUGGCGAACGGGUGAGUAGCACGUGGGUGAUCUGCCCUGCACUUCGGGAUAAGCCUGGGAAACUGGGUCUAAUACCGGAUAGGAGCCAUUUUUAGUGUGAUGGUUGGAAAGUUUUUCGGUGUAGGAUGAGCUCGCGGCCUAUCAGCUUGUUGGUGGGGUAAUGGCCUACCAAGGCGGCGACGGGUAGCCGGCCUGAGAGGGUGGACGGCCACAUUGGGACUGAGAUACGGCCCAG